AAAUUGAAGAGUUUGAUCAUGGCUCAGAUUGAACGCUGGCGGCAGGCCUAACACAUGCAAGUCGAACGGUAACAGGAAGCAGCUUGCUGCUUCGCUGACGAGUGGCGGACGGGUGAGUAAUGUCUGGGAAACUGCCUGAUGGAGGGGGAUAACUACUGGAAACGGUGGCUAAUACCGCAUAACGUCGCAAGACCAAAGAGGGGGACCUUCGGGCCUCUUGCCAUCAGAUGUGCCCAGAUGGGAUUAGCUGGUUGGUGAGGUAACGGCUCACCAAGGCGACGAUCCCUAGCUGGUCUGAGAGGAUGACCAGCCACACUGGAACUGAGACACGGUCCAGACUCCUACGGGAGGCAGCAGUGGGGAAUAUUGCACAAUGGGCGCAAGCCUGAUGCAGCCAUGCCGCGUGUAUGAAGAAGGCCUUCGGGUUGUAAAGUACUUUCAGCGGGGAGGAAGGUGUUGUGGUUAAUAACUGCAGCAAUUGACGUUACCCGCAGAAGAAGCACCGGCUAACUCCGUGCCAGCAGCCGCGGUAAUACGGAGGGUGCAAGCGUUAAUCGGAAUUACUGGGCGUAAAGCGCACGCAGGCGGUCUGUCAAGUCGGAUGUGAAAUCCCCGGGCUCAACCUGGGAACUGCAUUCGAAACUGGCAGGCUUGAGUCUUGUAGAGGGGGGUAGAAUUCCAGGUGUAGCGGUGAAAUGCGUAGAGAUCUGGAGGAAUACCGGUGGCGAAGGCGGCCCCCUGGACAAAGACUGACGCUCAGGUGCGAAAGCGUGGGGAGCAAACAGGAUUAGAUACCCUGGUAGUCCACGCCGUAAACGAUGUCUACUUGGAGGUUGUGCCCUUGAGGCGUGGCUUCCGGAGCUAACGCGUUAAGUAGACCGCCUGGGGAGUACGGCCGCAAGGUUAAAACUCAAAUGAAUUGACGGGGGCCCGCACAAGCGGUGGAGCAUGUGGUUUAAUUCGAUGCAACGCGAAGAACCUUACCUGGUCUUGACAUCCACAGAACUUUCCAGAGAUGGAUUGGUGCCUUCGGGAACUGUGAGACAGGUGCUGCAUGGCUGUCGUCAGCUCGUGUUGUGAAAUGUUGGGUUAAGUCCCGCAACGAGCGCAACCCUUAUCCUUUGUUGCCAGCGGUCCGGCCGGGAACUCAAAGGAGACUGCCAGUGAUAAACUGGAGGAAGGUGGGGAUGACGUCAAGUCAUCAUGGCCCUUACGACCAGGGCUACACACGUGCUACAAUGGCGCAUACAAAGAGAAGCGACCUCGCGAGAGCAAGCGGACCUCAUAAAGUGCGUCGUAGUCCGGAUUGGAGUCUGCAACUCGACUCCAUGAAGUCGGAAUCGCUAGUAAUCGUGGAUCAGAAUGCCACGGUGAAUACGUUCCCGGGCCUUGUACACACCGCCCGUCACACCAUGGGAGUGGGUUGCAAAAGAAGUAGGUAGCUUAACCUUCGGGAGGGCGCUUACCACUUUGUGAUUCAUGACUGGGGUGAAGUCGUAACAAGGUAACCGUAGGGGAACCUGCGGUUGGAUCACCUCCUUACCUGAAAGAA
rnacentral:rRNA from 1 species